GUACUCCACGAAGUGCCUCCACGAUCAAUCCUCAACCACACCACGAAGUGCCUCCACGAUCAGGAUAGGAUGUUUUGCAUCGCACUCCUUUGGGCGCUCCCCCUGUUCCAUGUGUAGCAGUGUAGCACGCGUGCCUCCCCGGAGCCGGAUCCCCUGACGUACGGCCACCUGACGUUGGGCCACUAACGCGUGGGUCCGGAUCCACACGUCAGCGAGUGCGCCGUAUGUCAGAGGAGCUGGGUCCGUGCCUCCCCUCCACGAUCUCAAUAAACCCGACGGCAGUGCGCGUGCUACUCGUACGGCCUAUCCAGCAAGCGUGGGCUCGAGCCUCGUGCUCUGUCCAGCCACUCCCGCAAUCGGCAAAGCCUCCUCCCCCGUCCGCGGCACCUCCAUUGGCAAGACCUGAAGCCCUGCGGCCGCGGACACGCAAGAUCUUGGCGUAGGGCGUACGGAGGAUCGGAGCUUGCUUGGCGUCGUCAUGGAGGAUCCAUCCAACUCGAUCUGGGUAGGAACUGCCGGUGCCAUACAUGGAGGGUCCAUCCAACCACCAUGCCCGAUGGAUCCGCAGCAGCAAGUCCGCAUCCCCGCGGAGAUCUCAUGAAUCCGGGAGCAAACAUCACUGCUCAUCCCGCCAUGUCAACCAUGGUGAACGAGGUCAGGAGCUACCAGAAUGGGGACCGAGAGAUCUUGUGUGCUACGGCUGCCCGUGGUCAGAGCAGGUUCGAGCCAUGUGAACUCACUGUCCGUGCCAUCAUUUAGUUGCUGAUGUUCUAAAUGACAAUGAGUACAACAUGGGAUUCGGCAUCUAUCCUCGAUGGAACACAUUUGUGAAGACAAUCCACCAUCCUAAAAGUAACUACAAACCUUAAUUUGCACCUACGCAAGAAUUUGCUAGAAAAGAUGCUGAGAGAGCUUUUGGUGUGCUUCAAUGACGCUUUAGGAUUGUCCGCGGAUCUUUGCAUAUUGAAAGCCCGAGACCACCUGGAAGACCAUGAGAACAUGUGUUAUCUUACAAAACAUGAUCAUCGAGGAUGAGGGAGAGGAUCCACAAGACUUUUGAUAUCUCUUCAGUGGGCUCUCGGUGGAGCCGGAACAUAACCCAAAUAGGAUCGAAGCCUUCCUCCAAGCACAUUGAAGGAUCGAGAACCGUCAAGCUCACAACGGACUCCAACUAGAUCUUAUUGGGCACCUUUGCCGCCUUCAUAACACUUGAUUCUUAUGCCUUUUAUCAUGUUUAUUUUGAUCCUUA